AUGAGAGCAGUGUAUCAUGGUCCUGGACAGUUAGACAGCAGCAAGGGUGUGCCUCACAACUACAGCAAAAGUUAGGAAACGUGAGACUGCCUUCCCUAGGAAGUAAACUUCUUAGCAUACCGAUCAGAAGAGUUUCCUCUUUGUCUUCAAUAGAUCAAUACCACUAAAGCUUCCAAAGCAUCUAUGCAACAGAGGGCUCCAUUUCAGAAUUCACCCAUGGGUUGGCUUCAAACACACCGGUCAAUACCUGCAGCUCAUCAAUUUCACAGGUCCUCUGACCAUACCUUACAUGGAUCUAAUAUCAAGAGCUCUGUCAGUUUACCUACAGAAGGGCUUCACCUGCGGCUGCACUCAGAACAUCUCGCAGAGCCGUCUGGGUGCCAUCCUUGAAUCCGGAAGACAGAAAAAGGCAUCAGAGAGACAUCAGAGGAAGUCCUCUUUCAUCAGAAGUGUGGGCUUAAUUGAACUCUGCGAAAUCUCCUGGAGGAGCCUCGAAAUGAGACUCACACUCUAUUAACCCUCUCCUCUCCUUGGAGGAGCUGUUUACUAUACUUUGAACACCUGGCCUCUACUAGAACAUUGUCUGAUUUUAAACUUGUUAUCAUGCCACAGAGAAUUCUAACACAGCUACCAGACCUAGAUGUGAAAUCUCAGCCUAAGUAGCCAUCAUAUCCCAUAUCCCAGUUAAAGGUGCAGUUAUGAGACACACCCCAGACUGGAUGGUGACCUGUGAGUUUGCAUAUGCUGAAAAGAAUAGGAAAUCAGCCAAAUCCCUCUACCUAUGGACCAAGGCUCGUCUGGAGACCAGUGAAGAGUCAUGACCUGAAGACUAGGCUCAAGUCCCUUUCUCCUUGUUUCAAAUGACUUCUGUUUUCAACUAACUAAACUUGGAUAUUAUCUUAAAAUCUUAUAUACUCCUAGGACAUUUUGCUCUAUCUGAAAUAAAGUAUGCAAGCUGCAAUCAUUCUAUG